UAGGGAAUCUUCCACAAUGGGCGCAAGCCUGAUGGAGCAACACCGCGUGAGUGAAGAAGGGUUUCGGCUCGUAAAGCUCUGUUGUAAGAGAAGAAUGACAUUGAGAGUAACUGUUCAAUGUGUGACGGUAUCUUACCAGAAAGGAACGGCUAAAUACGCGCCAG
rnacentral:rRNA from 1 species